UGGAACAAGGGGGCAGAGAGCGGGGGAGUAAGGAGGGGGCAAGCGUUAAGCGGAAUUACUUGGCGUAAAGCGCACGCAGGCGGGUAGAUAAGUCAGAUGUGAAAGCCCCGGGCUCAACCUGGGAACUGCAUUUGAAACUGUCUGACUAGAGUGUGACAGAGGGGGGUAGAAUGCCACGUGUAGCAGUGAAAUGCGUAGAGAUGUGGAGGAAUACCGAUGGCGAAGGCAGCCCCCUGGGUUACUACUGACGCUCAUGCACGAAAGCGUGGGGAGCAAACAGGAUUAGAUACCCCAGUAGUC
rnacentral:rRNA from 1 species